rnacentral:sRNA from 2 species
ACCAAAAAACAGCCGAAUCCCAUUUAGGGUACGGGGGAUACAAUUUGGGGUGAAUGCGCCAACGCGCAUGGGCGACCUCCGUCCUAACCCGUCAACUAACCUCGGAGGCAAGGGGAGGACUU